rnacentral:rRNA from 1 species
GAUAAACGCUGGCGGCGCACAUAAGACAUGCAAGUCGAACGAACUUAACUCAUUCUUUUAGUUUGAGAGCGGUUAGUGGCGGACUGGUGAGUAACACGUAAGCAACCUGCCUAUUAGAGGGGAAUAACAGUGAGAAAUCAUUGCUAAUACCGCAUAUGCUAACAGUAUCGCAUGAUACAGUUAGGAAAGGAGUAAUCCGCUAAUAGAUGGGCUUGCGUCUGAUUAGAUAGUUGGUGGGGUAACGGCCUACCAAGUCGACGAUCAGUAGCCGGACUGAGAGGUUGAACGGCCACAUUGGGACUGAGAUACGGCCCAGACUCCUACGGGAGGCAG